AUACUUAUCUGGCUGGGAAGAUACCAUGAUCACAAAGGUGGUUUUCCCAAGGCAAGGCUUAUCCAUUGCACUCCAGAUGUGCUCACCCCUGCAAUUUCCCAAAAUGGGGAGACCUUGACUGCAUAAUUUGUGGUAGUGAGGGAAUGUGUUGGUGUUCCCCCCAC
ensembl:snRNA U1 U1 spliceosomal RNA